rnacentral:rRNA from 1 species
AGUCGUACGCUUCUUUUUCCACCGGAGCUUGCUCCACCGGAAAAAGAAGAGUGGCGAACGGGUGAGUAACACGUGGGUAACCUGCCCAUCAGAAGGGGAUAACACUUGGAAACAGGUGCUAAUACCGUAUAACAAUCGAAACCGCAUGGUUUUGAUUUGAAAGGCGCUUUCGGGUGUCGCUGAUGGAUGGACCCGCGGUGCAUUAGCUAGUUGGUGAGGUAACGGCUCACCAAGGCCACGAUGCAUAGCCGACCUGAGAGGGUGAUCGGCCACAUUGGGACUGAGACACGGCCCAAACUCCUACGGGAGGCAGCAGUAGGGAAUCUUCGGCAAUGGACGAAAGUCUGACCGAGCAACGCCGCGUGAGUGAAGAAGGUUUUCGGAUCGUAAAACUCUGUUGUUAGAGAAGAACAAGGAUGAGAGUAACUGUUCAUCCCUUGACGGUAUCUAACCAGAAAGCCACGGCUAACUACGUGCCAGCAGCCGCGGUAAUACGUAGGUGGCAAGCGUUGUCCGGAUUUAUUGGGCGUAAAGCGAGCGCAGGCGGUUUCUUAAGUCUGAUGUGAAAGCCCCCGGCUCAACCGGGGAGGGUCAUUGGAAACUGGGAGACUUGAGUGCAGAAGAGGAGAGUGGAAUUCCAUGUGUAGCGGUGAAAUGCGUAGAUAUAUGGAGGAACACCAGUGGCGAAGGCGGCUCUCUGGUCUGUAACUGACGCUGAGGCUCGAAAGCGUGGGGAGCAAACAGGAUUAGAUACCCUGGUAGUCCACGCCGUAAACGAUGAGUGCUAAGUGUUGGAGGGUUUCCGCCCUUCAGUGCUGCAGCUAACGCAUUAAGCACUCCGCCUGGGGAGUACGACCGCAAGGUUGAAACUCAAAGGAAUUGACGGGGGCCCGCACAAGCGGUGGAGCAUGUGGUUUAAUUCGAAGCAACGCGAAGAACCUUACCAGGUCUUGACAUCCUUUGACCACUCUAGAGAUAGAGCUUCCCCUUCGGGGGCAAAGUGACAGGUGGUGCAUGGUUGUCGUCAGCUCGUGUCGUGAGAUGUUGGGUUAAGUCCCGCAACGAGCGCAACCCUUAUUGUUAGUUGCCAUCAUUCAGUUGGGCACUCUAGCAAGACUGCCGGUGACAAACCGGAGGAAGGUGGGGAUGACGUCAAAUCAUCAUGCCCCUUAUGACCUGGGCUACACACGUGCUACAAUGGGAAGUACAACGAGUCGCGAAGUCGCGAGGCUAAGCUAAUCUCUUAAAGCUUCUCUCAGUUCGGAUUGUAGGCUGCAACUCGCCUACAUGAAGCCGGAAUCGCUAGUAAUCGCGGAUCAGCACGCCGCGGUGAAUACGUUCCCGGGCCUUGUACACACCGCCCGUCACACCACGAGAGUUUGUAACACCCGAAGUCGGUGAGGUAACCUUUGGAGCCAG